rnacentral:rRNA from 1 species
ACUUCCCUACGGGGCGCAGCAGUAGGGAAUCUUCCACAAUGGACGAAAGUCUGAUGGAGCAACGCCGCGUGAGUGAAGAAGGGUUUCGGCUCGUAAAGCUCUGUUGGUAGUGAAGAAAGAUAGAGGUAGUAACUGGCCUUUAUUUGACGGUAAUUACUUAGAAAGUCACGGCUAACUACGUGCCAGCAGCCGCGGUAAUACGUAGGUGGCAAGCGUUGUCCGGAUUUAUUGGGCGUAAAGCGAGUGCAGGCGGGUCCAUAAGGCUGAUGUGAAAAGCUUCGGGUCAACCCGAAGA